rnacentral:rRNA from 1 species
GAGUUUGAUCAUGGCUCAGAUUGAACGCUGGCGGCAUGCCUUACACAUGCAAGUCGAGCGGCAGCGCGGGGGCAACCCUGGCGGCGAGCGGCGAACGGGUGAGUAAUGCAUCGGAACGUGUCCUCUUGUGGGGGAUAACCAGUCGAAAGACUGGCUAAUACCGCAUGAGAUCGAGAGAUGAAAGCAGGGGACCGCAAGGCCUUGCGCGAGAGGAGCGGCCGAUGCCGGAUUAGCUAGUUGGUGGGGUAAAAGCCUACCAAGGCGACGAUCCGUAGCUGGUCUGAGAGGACGACCAGCCACACUGGGACUGGGACACGGCCCAGACUCCUACGGGAGGCAGCAGUGGGGAAUUUUGGACAAUGGGGGCAACCCUGAUCCAGCCAUGCCGCGUGUGUGAAGAAGGCCUCGGUUGUAAG